UUUGAUUUGUAUGCUUGCAAAACUCAAUAAAGAAUUUUGACUUCUGUCUUCCUUUCUUCGUAACAUUAUUUCUAACACAAACAUAAAACCAAACAAAACGAAGAAUGAGCACCGCCCGCAAUGAAUAUUCAUGAGGGGCGUGGUUAAUGAAGGGGCGUGUCGUAUGAUUAAGUAGGGGGUGUUGCAUUAUUCAUGAGAGGGUGUCACCAACUGAUGUCACAUCAACCAAUCAAAAUGUUUGGAUUUGAGCCCACCUCCAAGAUUUUUGCUCUCACAUGAUUGGUCACGUUUGAAGCACCACGCCCAUGUCCCGCCCAUGCCUCAUUCUGAUUGGAUAAAACCCUAUUUUCUCUAUUCUGAUUGGUUGAAGGACAUGUCAAUCAAAACACCACACACCUCCAAAAUGACGCAGUUCUUAAGGGUUGUCUUUUCAUGAUGGAUGAGACAUGCUGAUGGCAUGUCCACUCACUAACCCCACUCCUCACUCUUCUACAUGUGAUCAACAUCCCAGCUCAGAGGAGGAGCUGAAGACACUCAGGAUUCCUGUGAUGGUCAGAGAUCACUGUGAAUUAUCAGCCUCUAUUUGAAAAGAUCAGGAACAUUAGUGACAGAGGAAGAAGUAAAGGAAAGUAUGAAGAGAUCUAGACUGUGACACUGCUGCAGCUGUAGUGAAGGAGUGUCAGUGUGAUGUCAGGGUACAGAGAUCUAAAGUGUGAGGAAGUAUUCUGGCACAGCCUGACCUAUUUUAAUGAGUUUACAUCCUCUUUCCAGCUUUCAACAAAGUCACUGAAUUCAGUCCAGCCUGGUUCCAGUCUGUCAACAUGUGAUGAAUAAACACCUUCAGCUCCCUCCCUGCUGCCUCCUGCUGCUCCUCUCUCUCAGUGAGGAAUGAGACUGUGAAGAGUCAGAAUCUGGCUCUGGGAUUGACAGGCUCCUGUCCUCCUGUCAGGAUGUUCACCUUCCCUCCUGCACUGCUGUCACCCUGAGCUCCCAGACACAGGCGCUCUUACCUCCCUCCCUGUCCAGCCAGAGUCUGCUCCUCUUCUCCGGGAGCAGGCACACAGUCUGCCUCUUCCUUUCCUUGCUCAUCUCAGCACUGACAUUCCUGACUCCUGCAGAAGGGAGCACAGGGGAAAGACAGUGAUGUUUACAGCUGUAAGAGGUCAUGUUCAACAAAUGAGUGGCACCAUCUGCUCUAGACAUACUGCAGCCCCAAUACAGUGACAGUAUCUUUCUUGACAAAUUGGUGUGGAUCUACACACUGGGUGCAGGGGUCUCCAGCCCCAGACCUGUUGCUCUUGUAAGUCACCUUUAAAAGCGGCAGUUCCUUACAGAUGAGGAACACUUCUUUAAGCAGUUGAUCAGCACAGCAAAGAGACAUCCUUGAGUCCUCAAGAAUUAAUAUUUGGAUUUGUUCCCGAUCGUCUCUAAAGUACCUGAUUUAACUAAACAUAUAUACAUAUAUAUAAAUAUGUGAUCAGUUAAAUUGUCCCAGGCUUUUGGAAGGUGGUAAUUGAGGGUUACCUUUGAAACAUGCUGAAAACAUGUUGGACUGGGGCUUCUCGGGACCAGAGGGUAAGACCUCCUGACUUCCAUAUACAAACUUACUCUACCCAAAUCCAUAAAUCAUUCUUCUUCCCCCCUGAGAUGUACUCUGUUGGGUAGUCUGGGUUAUUACACGACAUGCUCAUGAUGCUUCAUCUUUCACUUGGAGCUCACUGGAGUUGACAGGCUCCCCAACACCCUCCUCUACUGAGCAAGUCAGGUUUAUCCUGACCUCAUGUGGACAUGUAAGAAAGGAGUAUUUUUCUCCUGAAAAUCUGGCUUUUCACUGCUGUUUUACAGCUUUAAAUAGUAGAUGUACCGGGUGAUUUAUGAGAUCAGUUAUCAGAACUCUUAUGCUUUUACAUCCAACUAUUAUUAAAGUUUAUUGACAGGAUCCAAGCUCUUGAGAAGCACCACCUCGUUUUCAUGGGGGGGGGCUUUUAGAAAACAUACCCAAACUACAGCUAUCACAACACAAAGAACAAAAGAAGAGAAAAGUAAAUAAAA
ensembl:lincRNA